rnacentral:rRNA from 1 species
UGGGGAAUUUUGCACAAUGGGGGAAACCCUGAUGCAGCGACGCCGCGUGAUUUAGAAGGCCUUCGGGUUGUAAAAAUCUUUUUUACGGGAUGAAAAUGACAGUACCGUAAGAAUAAGGUCCGGCUAAAUACGUGCCAGCAGCCGCGGUAAUACGUAUGGACCGAGCGUUGUCCGGAAUCAUUGGGCGUAAAUGGUACGUAGGCGGCCUAGUAAGUUAGAAGUGAAAUAAUAUAGCUCAACUAUAUAAAGCUUUUAAAACUGCUAGGCUUGAGAGAUGGAAGGGAAAGUGGAAUUCCUAGUGUAGCGGUGAAAUGCGCAGAUAUUAGGAAGAAUACCGGUGGCGAAGGCGACUUUCUGGUCAUCAUCUGACGCUGAGGUACGAAAGCGUGGGUAGCAAACAGG